rnacentral:misc_RNA from 1 species
GCAAACUUGGUCAUUUAGAGGAAGUAAAAGUCGUAACAAGGUAACCGUAGGUGAACCUGCGGUUGGAUCAUUAACAAAUAAAUUUAGGCGCCCUGCUGCCCCUCAAAGGCAUCGGGCAACACCUAAACAUUUGUGUGCACCAUAUCUGUUUUUGGCAGUUCGAGUGUCCUGAGUUGCGCAACUGCCUCAGGUACCUACCAAGGCUUUUCCUUCGGGUUUUGCCACGGUUGGGCUGCCGCCCUUUUUGAAUUAACCUUUGUUUUUAUUUUUAACGACUGAAAUUGUUUGAUCUUCACAGAUUGAAUUUAAAUACAACUUUUGACAACGGAUCUCUUGGCUCUCGCAUCGAUGAAGAACGCAGC